AGGUAAGAGAGACAGUCGUGACCCCUCUCCUUCUUUUCUGGUACACACGCUUCCAUAACUUAAGAGAGCCACCUCUAUUCUCAUAAAUUCCCCCAAUCUCAAAAUUUGGGUUCUCUGGUUACAAAAUCAUUACCAACAAUCAUCCUAAAAAUUCCGAUCAUCAAAUACAAUCGUUUUAAGAAGUUCUGAUGGAGAAACAAUCGAGGUCGAUGUGGCUAUUGUGUACUGUAAGAAGCAUGUGGAGACUUUGAAUGCCGAUGAGAAGGUCACUAAGAAGAUGCUUUAUGUGCGGUUCCACAGAAGGGAAGCGGAGCCAAUGUGUCCAGCAACGGCGGUGCAGCGAGCUAGGGCUUCUAUCACUUUUGUAAUUUUGGGUUUUGGUGAUCUUCUAUUCUGCUCGCAAGCAACCUGGAUUGAACAUCUACUCUGUUUCAUGACAUUUAGGGUUUGGAGUAUGCGAUUCAAAUGGAAGAUGCCUCCAGGUAAGUUCACACGAAAUUAGUCAUGUUGAUUGGCUCCGUUGGACUUCUGCUGCACAACUACCUUUGCUUGAAGAUGAAAUGCGGAGGGUUGAAAGAGUGAAUCAACACAUGAGUCUAGAUUGAAACUAUACGCCUACUGACAGGAUGCUUGGAGGGAUCAGUGGCUUGCCAACAAGAAAGCAAUUGCUGAUAGAAACGUCUACAUGCUCUUAAAAGAGAGCAAUCAUUUUUUCCAGCAAUUUUCUAUGAGAGAUAAGCUUGAGUCAUGUGUAGGGACCUGCAACAUCAAAGCAAGAUGUCAUGGUAUGUUUUAAUUAUAUGUCUGCGAUUUGAUUUCAAUCUCUCAUUUUGCUCUAUGUGAGUAUGUUUGUGUGUGUGCUCUACACAUUUGAUCAUGUGUAACAACUUGGAAACUUGAAGAGAUGAAUAGUGUGGGGAUUAGUGGGGUGGGACAACCUGAAGCACCUGAUGGGAAGUCGUGGUGUUGGUGGUUAUGCUCAACCUGUUAAUCGACCGGGUUCCUAUAUAGAUUCUUUAGGGUUUGCACCUGACUUGGACCACCAAUAUUCUGAGCAUAACUCAUCUGGUGGUUGGUUGGACGAGUGAUUAGGUCUGAUAAGGGGCGUCAUUGGGUACCCCUACCUGAUUUGGUUGGAAAUUUUGGUUCAAUAGUGUUGAAAAGGCUAGGCUAGAAAAAAAACUUUUUUAAGUUAGUCGACUAAAAUUUCAGAGCAAGUUAGAAAAAGCUAGGCUGGAAAAAGAAAUUUUUUAAGUUGGUUGACUAAAAUUUUCAGAGCAAGCUUUUUGGUCAACCUUUUAAAAGGUCAAUGACAGUCAACCAGUGAGGGUUAAGUGUGAUUACAUGCGUGAUAAAUUUAAGAGGGGUUGCUUAUUAUUUUGGGCGUGUUUAAUUGAGAUGGUUUGGUAUUUGGAGUGGUGGUGUGUAGGUACGCCCUGUAAACAUAUCGGAAAAGAAGAAUGGUGGAGCUUGGGUCAUGAGAUUUUUGGUAGUAAUUAGAAUCAUGUUAAUUGGGCCCAUGCUCUUUCAUAUGGUGCAGCAGUGGAUUGAGCCAAAUGGUUAUUUUAACGGAAAUGCAAUUCGGCUAUUUUUACGUCGGAUGCUUCAUGUUUUGGGUCAGAAGCCUAUUUUAGGCAAAAUAGGAAAAUGGAAAUAGGUUGUGAGAUUUAUAUGCUUUAACAAGAUAUGCUGAUGCUAAAGACCGAGCAAUUGGAGCAAAAAAAUUAUACUGAUACAUAAAACCUCCUAAAACGUUUCAUUCAUUAAGUUAUAUGAUUGAAAAAAAAAUUAUACUUUACGUAAUUGUAUUUGAUACACUAGCUAUAUAUAAAGAUUUCAACCCUUUUGGACAAAAAGUGUUGCAGGUCCACAUUACCAAGAGAAUUUGCCCAUUUUGAUUUGAACCCAUUACCUAAACCACCCAUUUUGAUUAUCCAAGGUACUCGCACAGACCAACUAGGGAAUGCACAACUGAGGCCAACAAAGUGUUUAAAGGUUGAUCGGUGGACUGUUGGGUCCAGAUGGAACAAACAGCUAUUUGGGAAAAUGGUGCAAAAGGGGUCAGAAUAAGGGUUCUAAGGCUUCUUCAAUAUCAACACAAUCAAAUGAGUCUAGGGGAUCAUUACUUUCUGCUAGAAGUAGCAAGCUUGGGGCUAAAACAAGUAGUUUGCAAUCCGAGGGGUGCUUGCGGAUCGGUCACUUUUUAAGUAAAGCAGGUCAAUAGUGGGGUCGCGAGGCACGAGACGGGACUCGAACCUGGUCUCCACCCGAGCCUAACCCUAUGCACGCCACAUACCACCACCCGACCGUCAGCGCUUUUGUGUGAACCACUAAUGCGUUACUAAUGACAAGAUCAGUUGUUUCUUGAUGCCUUGAUGAACCACUAAUGCGUGUGUUACCAUUCACAAAGCUAGCGAGUUGGAAACAAGGUUGACCACUUCAUCAAAGUUGAACCAACUAGCCAUUUUUACAUGGUGAACUCGGUAACCCGGCGAUCAAAUGGCUGCGCUAUGGUCAACUCGGUAAUCCGGACGAUUAACAAGCACCUUUCCUCAAAGUCCACCAAGUUUUUUCAAACUUUGCUAUUCCUUAGUGUAACCGUAUUAACUUGUACAUCAUGUUUUAAAUGUGGUGUAUUUGUUUGAAUGACAAAUCUUUUGUUUUAUUGUAAGUUUUAUUAUUUUAGAAAUAUACCAAUACGGGUAUACGAC